GAUGAAGAACGUAGCGAAAUGCGAUACGUAAUGUGAAUUGCAGAAUUCAGUGAAUCAUCGAAUCUUUGAACGCACAUUGCGCCCCCUGGUAUUCCGGGGGGCAUGCCUGUCCGAGCGUCAUUGCUGCCCUCAAGCACGGCUUGUGUGUUGGGCCUCCGUCCUCCUCCCGGGGGACGGGCCCGAAAGGCAGCGGCGGCACCGCGUCCGGUCCUCGAGCGUAUGGGGCUUCGUCACCCGCUCUUGUAGGCCCGGCCGGCGCUUGCCGACACAUCAAUCUUUUUUCCAGGUUGACCUCGGAUCAGGUAGGGAUACCCGCUGAACUUAAGCAUAUCAAUAAGCGGAGGA
rnacentral:misc_RNA from 1 species